GACGUUGACGGGGGAGCGUUACUGGUCGUGACUGGGCGUAAAGUGCAGCUAGACGGUCCGAGAAAUUUACGCUAACAAUAUAAAAAUAGUAAAAUUUUGCUGCGUGAAUACCUAGGUACUAGAGGAUUAGAGGGGUGAAUGGUGUGUGCGGUAUUGCGUUAAAAUGCUUAGACUGUAUGAACCACCAACGGCCACGGCAAUUCACUAUUUAAUCACUGACGUUGAACUGCGAAAGUGCGGAAUCCGAUCGGGAUUGGAGACCCCAGUAGUCCGCACUGUCAAUUGAUGAGCAUUAACUGUUGGAAUUUUUCAAUGGAUGAGCUAACGCGAUAAAUGCUUCGCCUGGGGAUUACAAUCGCAAGAUUGAAACUUAAAAAGAUUGGCGGGAACUUGUAUAAAUGGUGGAGUAUGUGGUUUAAUUCGACAAUCCACGGGUAACCUUACCAACGUAGUAGAGAGAUUUAGAAAAGGCUUAGCGGUCUUUGACUGAUCGGUAAUCUCGCAACUGGUACUGCAUGGCUGUCGUCAGUUCGUGUUGUAAAAUGUGAUGUUUAGUCAUCCAACGAACGCAACCCCGUUCACUAGUAUUAAUUUUAUAAAUGUUAAAAAUUACCGAAUUCGGGUUAACGUUUCAAAAAUUUGCUGGUUGUACAGUUAAAAAGCAACGUAAAUCUCACGACGAGAUGAUGUCUUUUUAGCGGAAGUGGGGGAGAAGUCAAGUCAUUAUGGUCUAGAUAUGUUGGGCUACACACGUGCUACAAGGGUAAAAACAAUGAGGCGCGAGAACGUAAAUUCAAGCUAAUCUCUAAAAAUUAUCCAAGUCCGGAGCGCGCGCUGCAAUUCGUGCGCGUGAAGUUGAAAUCAUUAGUAAUCGCAAAUCAGAACGUUGCGGUGAAUGUAUAAUCAAGUUUUGCACACACCGCCCAUCACGCUCGGAGAGUUUCUUUAGUCUGAAAUUGAGUUUGAAUUGUGAUUGCCUAGACGGCACCAACGCUAGUUUCACGAAACCGACCUAUGAAGGUGGAGGGAGCGAUUUGAGCGAAGUUG
rnacentral:rRNA from 1 species